rnacentral:rRNA from 1 species
AUUGAACGCUGGCGGCAGGCCUAACACAUGCAAGUCGAGCGGAGCGGCGGACGGGUGAGUAAUGCCUAGGAAUCUGCCUGGUAGUGGGGGAUAACGUCCGGAAACGGGCGCUAAUACCGCAUACUAUCAGAUUAGCCUAGGUCGGAUUAGCUAGUUGGUGGGGUAAAGGCCUACCAAGGCGACGAUCCGUAACUGGUCUGAGAGGAUGAUCAGUCACACUGGAACUGAGACACGGUCCAAACUCCUACGGGAGGCAGCAGUGGGGAAUAUUGGUCAAUGGACGGAAGUCUGAACCAGCCAAGUAGCGUGCAGGAUGACGGCCUAUGGGUUGUAAACUGCUUUUGUAUGGGGAUAGGUACCAUAUGAAUAAGGACCGGCUAAUUCCGUGCCAGCAGCCGCGGUAAUAC